CCACAUUACAAUAAUACUUCUCUGGCCUGCUACCACUUCCAUACUGUGUUUGUGAGAGAAUUCUGAGUUUGGAGUGCAAACAGAAACCACUUCCCUUUCUUACUUUCUUGAUCUUGUGAGCAUGGCUGCAUCACUUGUUGGAGGAGCUUUCCUCUCUUCUUUUCUCAGUGUUCUUUUCGACAGGCUGUCUGAUCCAGAGAUCAUCAACAUGAUGCGAGGAAAGAAGGUUGACCAAAAGCUGCUUCAAAGGCUGAAGACCAUUCUGAAUGUGGUUGAAGCUGUGCUGAAUGAUGCUGAGAAGAAACAGAUCACUGACCCUGCUGUCAAGAGGUGGCUCGAAGAUCUCCAAGAUGCUGUCUAUGAUGCUGAUGACUUGUUGGAUGAAGUCGCCACCAAAGCUGCCACUCAGAAGGAUCCACCAGGUAACUUUCUGUCUCGCUUUCUCAAUUUGCAAGAUAGGGAGAUGGUUACUAGGAUUGAAGAAAUCAUUGCUAGACUAGAAGAUAUUGCAAAACACAAAGAUAUCCUUCGUCUAGAAAAGAUUGCAGCCAAGAACAUGUCUGGGAGGAUUCCAUCAACCUCACUGGUUAAAAAAUCUGAUAUAUUUGUUGGAAGGGACAAAGAAAGGGAUGCCAUAGUGAAUUUGCUUUUAGAUGAUGCUUACAAUGGUGAACUGUCCGUGAUUCCCAUCGUGGGCAUGGGUGGGAUAGGAAAAACUACUUUGGCUAAAUUGGUUUAUAAUGAUGACACCGUGCAACAAAAGUUUCAUGUCAAGGCAUGGGUUUGUGUUGGUGAGGAGGAAUUUGAUGUUCUGAAGGUCACAAAGGCGGUGAUAGAGAAAACUUGCAGUGCUUGUUACUCAAAUGAUUUAGAUACAGCUCAAAAUCAUUUGAAGAAUGAGCUAGCGGGGAAGAACUUCUUGGUUGUUCUGGAUGAUGUAUGGAGCAGUAAUCGUGAGCGUUGGGAAAAUUUUCUAACUCCUUUUGAAUGUGGAAGUCAGGUCUGCAAGAUUCUUGUAACAACACGUCUUGAUACAGUUGCUUCUGUGGUGAAAACUAAACAUAAUGAAGCUCACAAUAUGAGUUUGUUGGAGGAAGAACAAUGCUGGUCAGUGUUUGCAAAUCGAGAAUGGGAUCCUGCAGAAUCCCGAGAUCAUUCAACUUUAGAAGAAAUUGGUAGAAAAAUUGUUAAAAAAUGUAAAGGAUUACCUUUGGCAGCUCAAACAGUUGGAGGGUUAUUGAGAGGGAAAGAUAAUGAAAAGGAUUGGAAUGAAGUUUUGAAUAGUGAAUUCUGGGAACUGUCUGAGGAGGAUAGUGGGAUUCUUCCUGCAUUGAGAAUCAGUUAUUACCACCUCCCAUCCUAUUUAAAACGCUGCUUUGUUUAUUGUUGUUUGUAUCCGAAGGACUUUGAAUUUGAUAGAGAUGAAUUGACAUUAUUGUGGAUGGCAGAAGGUCUUUUACUACAACUAAAGAGUGGAAACACUUUGGAAGAAACUGGUUAUGAAUAUUUUGAUGAUUUGGUUUCGAGAUCAUUUUUUCAACAUUCUAACACUUAUGUGAAUUCAUUUGUGAUGCACGAUCUCAUGCAUGAUUUAGCAAAGUUCUAUGGUGGAAAGUUCUUUUCUAGUAUCCUUGAACUCAAGAAUCCAGCAAAGCAUGAUACCAGAACUCGCCACUUGUCAUGUGCUCGCCGCAAGAAUGACGAUGAUGAUUUGCUUAUGAAGAUCACGGAAGCAUGCGAUAGGUUAAAACAUGCGAGGACAUUGUUGCAAAUUUAUAAUGAAUAUGGUCUAUUCUCAGUGGGAGAUAGAGUAGCCGUUUCUUGUGACUUACUAGAACAAUUAAAGUGUUUACGAGUUUUGUCAUUUAAUUUUUUUUCAGAUGAUGAAAACUUGAUGCAUGGUUCUAUUGCCAAAUUGAUCCAUUUGCGUUAUUUGGAUCUUUCAUACACAUCCAUCGUGACUUUGCCCGAGUCUUUGAGUUGCUUGUACAAUUUACAAACCUUGAAGUUGAGAAAGUGUAGAAAACUUAGAAAGCUUCCUAGCAAGAUGCAAAAUCUUGUGAAUUUGCGUCAUCUUGAUGUUUUUGAAACUGGUUUGGAAGAGAUGCCAAAAAAGAUGAGCGAAUUAAAAGAUUUGCAAAUUUUAAGUUGCUAUAUUGCGGGCAAACAUGAAGAGAAUGGGAUUGGAGAAUUGGGAGAGCUAGCACAUCUUCAUGGAUCAUUAUGGAUUCAGAAAUUAGAGAAUGUUAAGAAUAGUGGUGAAGCAUCGAGUGCAAGAAUGGAUGAAAAAAUACACCUGAAUGCUUUAGAUUUCAGUUGGACAUCAUUUGAAGAAAGUGAGGUUCGUGAUUCCCAAACUGAAAAAGAUAUACUUGAGAAAUUACGUCCUCACAAAGACUUGAAGGAGCUAUCCAUCGGGGGUUACAGAGGUACGAUGUUUCCGGAUUGGGUAGGGCAGUCUUCGUACCACAACAUGACUGUGUUGCAGCUGAGUGGAUGCAGGAAUUGUUGGAUGCUUCCUUCACUUGGACAGUUACCCGCUCUAACGAGAUUGCUGAUUUCAGGUUGUGAUAAACUGAAGAUGAUUGGUGGCUCAUUCUAUAAGGCUGAUGCAACUCAUCAGCAUCAGGAGACACCCUUCCGAUCCCUUAGAUCUUUGGACUUUCGUCAUAUGCGUUGCUUGGAGGAAUGGGAGUCGUAUGCAUGUGAUGAUGAUGAUGAUGCACCAUUUCCGAAACUUGAGACGCUUAUUAUAGAGAACUGCCCUAAGUUAAGAGGAGAUUUGCCCACUUUCCUUCCAUCUUUGAAAGAACUUGUCAUAUCAGGAUGUGAGGAGCUUAGUUGUUAUCUGCCAAGAGCUCCCAUCAUACUCCGAAUAAACAUAUUAGGCAAACAGAAAGCAAGAAUGCGGGACCUACCACUUUCACUGCAACAUCUAAGUAUCGAAGGAAAGCAGCCUGUGGAUUUUCUGUUUGAGGCCAUGACCCACACCCAACCAACCUCUCUCAGAUAUUUAAGAAUCUCAAAGUGCUCGUCAGCCAUAUCAUUUCCAGGGGAUUCUUUGCCCCCUUCAUUGAAACAGUUGCGGAUCAAUAACUGCAAGAAUGUAGAAUUCCCAAUGCAACACCAACAACAUCAUUCGCUAAUGGAAUUAGAAAUAGACAACAGCUGUGAUUCACUUACAUCCUUCCCAUUGUCAGCGUUCCCAAAUCUCAAGUCCCUCAUAAUCGCAAGACGAGAAAACUUGACAUCUCUAGAGGAGCUGUCACAAUCACAGUCCCUUCGAGAAUUACGGGUUGAAGAAUGCCCUAAGCUGGAGAACAUAAUAAGGCUGCCUGCCUGUUUAAGGGAACUCGACAUCAGCAAAUGUCCGUUGUUGGGUGAAGGCAUAGAGAGGAAGGACCCUCACAUUUGGCCAUCCAUUUCCCACAUCCCCGGUAUUUAUGUCGAUGGGAAACAGAUUCACAAUGACUCAACAUCUUAAAACAGCAAAAUCAUAUUCCUACAAUGGUUAUCAGAUGAAGACAUUGAUGUGGUUGAUUCCCAAAUUGAAAGAGAUGUGCUUGACAAGUUACAUCCUCACAAAGACUUGAAGGAGCUAAGAAUCAAGGGCUACUGAGGUACAAUGUUUCCAGAAAUAGACAACAGUUGUGAGUUGUGAUUCACUUACAUCCUUCAUGUUCCCAGCAUUUCCAAAUCUCAGACUUCUGACAAUCAAAAGAUGUGAAAAUUUGAGAUCUCUUGAGAUGGUGUCAGAGUUACAGUUCCUCUGGCAAUUAUCAAUUAAGAGAUGUCCUAUGCUGGAGAACAUAAGGCUACCUGCCUUUUUAAGCGAUCUCAGAAUCGGUGGAUGUCCAUUGUUAGGUGAACUUAUAUGGAGGAAGGAUCCCCACAUUUGGCAUACUAUAUCCUGCUUCUGGAGACAGAUUUCAUGAUGAUUCAACAUUUUAAAACAGUUUAAGACAAUGGAAAAAGGCAGGCAUUGUAGAAUCAUGGAAACACUUUCUUCUAGCAUUGUACAUUGAGCACAGCUUAUUGGGACAGAGGAUGAAGGAGAUGAAUCUUGAGAGAGCUAUAAUAUAUGGCUGGAAGGAUCUUGAUGUGAUCAUAGAUGCUUUGGGAAAAAUGAUGAUUGAUGAAUUGAGUGAAGUUAUUAUCAAGAUUCUACAUGGAUGGAAGGAAAUUGGUGUGUAACCAGCAACCACUCACCAGCCCUUACUCUUUCUCAACUGAAAAAUGAACUGAAUGUGUAACCUACAAAGUGUGCAUUCAGAUUUGUUGAUAGAAUAAAUAAUUUGGAUUGCUUAGCUGAGUCAAUUAGUGAGAUGCAUUAUGCCAUUUGAUUUAGAAUCAAGUUUUCUGUCUCGUUUUGUGAUUUUAUUAUUAGUUACUAAAAUGACAUGUUACACUUUUCUGUGUGAA